AUUGAACGCUGGCGGCAUGCCUUACACAUGCAAGUCGUACGGCAGCGGGGGAGAAGCUUGCUUUUCCUGCCGGCGAGUGGCGAACGGGUGAGUAAUACAUCGGAACGUGCCCUGUAGUGGGGGAUAACUAGUCGAAAGAUUAGCUAAUACCGCAUACGACCUGAGGGUGAAAGUGGGGGACCGAAAGGCCUCAUGCUAUAGGAGCGGCCGAUGUCUGAUUAGCUAGUUGGUGGGGUAAAGGCCGACCAAGGCGACGAUCAUUAGCUGGUCUGGGAGGACGAGCAGCCACACUGGGAGUGAGACACGGCCCAGACUCCUACGGGAGGCAGCAGUGGGGAAUUUUGGACAAUGGGCGAAAGCCUGAUCCAGCAAUGCCGCGUGUGUGAAGAAGGCCUUCGGGUUGUAAAGCACUUUUGUCCGGAAAGAAAUGGCUCUGGUUAAUACCUGGGGUCGAUGACGGUACCGGAAGAAUAAGGACCGGCUAACUACGUGCCAGCCGCCGCGGUAA
rnacentral:rRNA from 1 species